AGCAGGGCAUUGGGGCACAGGUUGCUCCAAACACAAAACUCCAGCUGGUCAUGGACUCCACCUCAGUCUCGCACCUCCUCGCAGCGACAGCUUACAUCCCCGGCACAGGUAACCUUCAGAACCGUCAUGCAUUGGAUCUGUUAACAGCUGACAAAGAAGGUUCGUGCACCGCUGCACCCCAGACUUCAGGCUGUGCCCUUGUCUCCAGACCCACAUCCCACGAAUCGCUUCAGCUGGCGUGAAGGAAUUGUGAACAUCCUGUCUUUCUCCGCCCAGCCUUUUCGCGAUCUCAGGUUUCUGGCAUCAAUGAGGAAAUGUGUCUUAACUUCACCCUCAACUUCCUUUGUGCUGGAGAGGAACGGAUUAAUCUUUCCACAACCUGAGAAACUGGCCCGAGCUGAGACGAGGCCUCCUCUACUGAAGUCGUUUUGAAGAUGUGG